rnacentral:rRNA from 1 species
AGGUAGUUGGUGGGGUAACGGCCUACCAAGCCGACGAUCAGUAGCCGACCUGAGAGGGUGACCGGCCACAUUGGGACUGAGACACGGCCCAAACUCCUACGGGAGGCAGCAGUGGGGAAUAUUGCACAAUGGGGGAAACCCUGAUGCAGCGACGCCGCGUGGAGGAAGAAGGUCUUCGGAUUGUAAACUCCUGUUGUUGAGGAAGAUAAUGACGGUACUCAACAAGGAAGUGACGGCUAACUACGUGCCAGCAGCCGCGGUAAAACGUAGGUCACAAGCGUUGUCCGGAAUUACUGGGUGUAAAGGGAGCGCAGGCGGGAAGACAAGUUGGAAGUGAAAUCUAUGGGCUCAACCCAUAAACUGCUUUCAAAACUGUUUUUCUUGAGUAGUGCAGAGGUAGGCGGAAUUCCCGGUGUAGCGGUGGAAUGCGUAGAUAUCGGGAGGAACACCAGUGGCGAAGGCGGCCUACUGGGCACCAACUGACGCUGAGGCUCGAAAGUGUGGGUAGCAAACAGGAUUAGAUACCCUGGUAGUCCACACCGUAAACGAUGAUUACUAGGUGUUGGAGGAUUGACCCCUUCAGUGCCGCAGUUAACACAAUAAGUAAUCCACCUGGGGAGUACGACCGCAAGGUUGAAACUCAAAGGAAUUGACGGGGGCCCGCACAAGCAGUGGAGUAUGUGGUUUAAUUCGACGCAACGCGAAGAACCUUACCAAGUCUUGACAUCCUGCGACGAUGCUGGAAACAGUAUUUUCCUUCGGGACGCAGAGACAGGUGGUGCAUGGUUGUCGUCAGCUCGUGUCGUGAGAUGUUGGGUUAAGUCCCGCAACGAGCGCAACCCUUAUCUUUAGUAGCCAGCGGUUUGGCCGGGCACUCUAGAGAGACUGCCAGGGAUAACCUGGAGGAAGGCGGGGAUGACGUCAAAUCAUCAUGCCCCUUAUGACUUGGGCUACACACGUGCUACAAUGGCGUAAACAAAGGGAAGCAAAGCUGUGAAGCCGAGCAAAUCUCAAAAAUAACGUCUCAGUUCGGACUGUAGUCUGCAACCCGACUACACGAAGCUGGAAUCGCUAGUAAUCGCGGAUCAGAAUGCCGCGGUGAAUACGUUCCCGGGUCUUGUACACACCGCCCGUCACACCAUGGGAGUCAGUAACGCCCGAAGUCAGUGACCUAACUGCAAAGAAGGAGCUGCCGAAGGCGGGACCGAUGACUGGGGUGAAGUCGUAACAAGGUAGCCGUAUCGGAAGGUGCGGCUG